rnacentral:sRNA from 1 species
UCCGAUAAAAAAAAAUUAAAGCGCUUGC